rnacentral:misc_RNA from 1 species
UUGGGAGUUUCUGUAUUGUACGUUGAAGUUAAGUUAAUUCCUCGAGCUCGAUUGAUUUUUUUAGGGAGCUGUCACUGUUAGUUAUGGAGACUAAUAAAUGGUGCCCACCUUAGCUUAAGUCUCAGGAUAUUCAGAGCAUAGACGGCAAUGGCGGUUUCUCCC